AUUUUUUGGGUGGUGGCAGCAAGUACCAGGUCCAAGCUGGUAGCUAAGCUUGGAGGUUUUCAUGCUAACCUCCAUAAUUUGGACGCUAAGGUCCAAAUCUGGGACUAAGGUUCUAACAGGUCGCCUGCCAUAUUUACUAUUCUUUCUACACAUUGGGAUGGUUUGUUCCUGCGACCUCAAUAAGGAUUCUUUAAAAUGAAAGUGUCAAGUGAAAUUCCAGAGCAGAUCACAUCUGAUGACUCAGAAUCAGGAGAAGAGAUUCUCUCAUAACAUUCUCCUCUGAGCCAUUCAAACCUGCUUCACUCAGCACUGUCUCAUUAUUGAGUUAGCAUCCUAACAGCCUCAUAAUGGGGAGUCGGGAGGACAGCCAACCUUCCCAGAGGUGGCUUGGCCAAUAGGUAGAAACUGGGAUUUAAACUCCAAAUGAUUCCACUAUGUUUGGGAUCCAUUUGAAUUCUCUUUCCACGUCUUUGACACUUUCUUCAGCAGCCAUGGUGACUCUGAUUAAAGAAGUCAAAACGUCAUCUCCAAGCACAGACAGCUGAGAACACUGCAUCACAUGACACAGAGGUGCAGGGACAGAAUGUGAAGAAGAUAAACUCUGCAUGGCUCAGACAGGAGGUAACAGUUCUGGAACGAUGAGGAAGGAGGGAAUCUCUGAGUCAGCCCAUCUACGUCCAGUGUCACAGAGACUGAAAUGACACUUUUUUCCCUGCCCCUGCUCCUCUUCAGUUAAAUAUAAUGAAAAAAGGUCAACAAAUAACUGCUCUUCAUCACAACCUAGAGCAACCUGAGAACAACUGGGAAUGAUACAAUUUGUACCACUGGUGACGCAAAUAACUUGGCAAAAGGAAGAACAUUAUAAAUGUGAUUCUCCUGGUUUCCUGGAAGGAUGGACCCACUCCCAUUACUCCUGGGAGAAUGGAGUUGAUAGCAAGGAUAACUGGGUCCACUCCAAAACAGGGCAAACUACAAAACCGCAAAAGGCAAAAAUGGGCACCUCUUUUGGACAAACUGAGGGAUAAUGGUGGUGCAGAUGGUUCAAACAGCCUUAAAGGUUACUACAUGGGAAUUAGGAAAACUAUUCAAGA
rnacentral:lncRNA from 1 species